GCGGCUGUAGCUCAGCUGGAUAGAGCAUUGGUCUACGAAACCAAGGGUCAGGAGUUCGAAUCUCUUCAGCCGCGCCA
rnacentral:tRNA from 1 species